GAUGAAGAACGCAGCGAAAUGCGAUAAGUAGUGUGAGUUGCAGAAUUCAGUGAAUCAUCGAAUCUUUGAACGCACAUUGCGCCCCUUGGUAUCCCGAGGGGCAUGCCUGUUCGAGCGUCAUUUCACCACUCAAGCCUGGCUUGGUGUUGGGCGACGUCCCCUUUGGGGACGCGCCUUGAAACGCUCGGCGGCGUGGCACCGGCUUUAAGCGUAGCAGAAUCUUUCGCUUUGGAAGUCGGGGCCCCGUCUGCCGGAAGACCUACUCGCAAGGUUGACCUCGGAUCAGGCAGGGAUACCCGCUGAACUUAAGCAUAUCAAUAAGCGGAGGA
rnacentral:misc_RNA from 1 species